CCUUCUCAGGGCGAAACCUCGCGAGAACUGGGACGACACCGCCCCUUCUCCCUCCCCCCGCUCCCCCGACCCAUGAUGCUCCACGUCCAGCAUGGCAUCCUUCUGUCCCAGGGGACUCAACCUGGUAGUGCCGCGGGACGUAAAGCCGAGGUGGGCCCUGGCAGCCCGGGUGGGUCUGGGACGGCAAGGGGUCGAAAGGCCUCUCCCAGUAGCCAGUCGGCGGGAAAUUAGGGACCAGAGCACGUUUGGCUAAGUGUUCCUGAGAAUUACAUACACGUGCUUCACAUUUUACAGCUAUUUUAUUUUCCAAGGAAAUCUGAACCUUUCUUAAGAGAACAGCACUUAAGAAGAAUGGAGGGGUUGGCAAACACCACAAAUGGCUUCCCCAUACGGAGGAGAAUAAAUGCGCCGCAGUUGGAAGCAGAAAGUGGCCGGCUCAGAAAGAGGGUUUAUUCAUCUCUGAGCCCCGCAUUCUAGGGGCGAGUGCCUUGCUCAGACCCAGGGCACCCACAAAACGGGGCCUGAAGGAUUUGCAGCAAUGUUUACACAACUGUUCGAAGCUAUUAAUGGGACAGCAACCAAGCCAGGUUCUCGUUCAUAUAUUUUUCUUUUAUGAACUUAAGAGGCAGUAGCACUUCAGAUUAGAAUGUAUAGAAGGUCUUCAGUUUUGUUUUGAUGUUUAUUUUUGAGAGAGGGAGACAGAGCACGAGUGGAGGAGGGGCAGAGAGAGAGGCAGACACAGAAUCCAAAGCAGGCUCCAGGUUCUGAGCUGUCAGCACAGAGCCCAACGCGGGGCUUGAACCCACAAACCUCGAGAUCGUGACCUGAGCUGAAGUGGAUGCUUAGUUGACUGAGCCAACUAAGGUGCCCCAUCAGGUCUUCAAUUUUAAAUGCCACGUUUUUUCAUAUUUUCUCCUAUUUUUUAAUUACCUUGGCUGUAUUUGUCAUUCAUAGCAUCUUUCUCCCGAGAACUUCCGAGUACAAACAGAGAUGAAGGGAGUCACUGUCAGAUACUGGAGGUCUUUACUUUUCUAAUUUCUUGAUAUUAUUCAGACUAACCAACUGAAAAACUGGCAUUACUGGAGCCAUUUUAAAAUCGAGUCUGAGUGGCCAGUGGAGAGAAACCGCCAUACUCACCUUUGAACUGGGCCAAAACCUUUGCACUGGGUAAAACGGCAGUUGUUUUAAGCAACUGUUUGAAAAGUCAGCAGAACAGACAUCCGGAUCACAAGUCUGGUGGUUGUGGACUUUCUGAAGACAGAAUCAGCACUCAGUCAGUAUAUAACCCAGAGUAGCCUAGCCUGUUAAAACACCCAUAGAAAAAAAAUUUCUCCCUUAAAUCAUGUCAUUUGUUUUCCUCAUGAAAACCACCUUGCUUUCCUGAAUCUGUGCUCCCGACACUGCAACUCUUUGGUCCCAAAUAAAUACUCAUUUGCCUCUCA